rnacentral:misc_RNA from 1 species
AAGUCGUAACAAGGUAACCGUAGGUGAACCUGCGGUUGGAUCAUUACAAAAUCGCGUGCCUGCCUCUCUCUGGAGUGUGCGGGUUCCGCAAGUCUUGUGUGCACUGUUUUGUGUCUCUUGUGGGUGCGAGCCCACAGCCAAUAGACCUAGUAGUAAUUCCUGCCUCUACUUGUUUUUAUACAUUAAAUAAUUACAACUUUUGACAACGGAUCUCUAGGCUCUC